UAUAAGAUAAGUAACAUUCCGUGAAUUAAUCUGAUAAACCGUUUUGACAACUGGUAACCUCCCUAAGACUGU
rnacentral:tRNA from 1 species